rnacentral:rRNA from 1 species
ACGGGUGAGUAACACGUGAGUAACCUGCCCUUGACUCUGGGAUAAGCCUGGGAAACUGGGUCUAAUACCGGAUACGACCAUCUGACGCAUGUCAUGGUGGUGGAAAGCUUUUGUGGUUUUGGAUGGACUCGCGGCCUAUCAGCUUGUUGGUGGGGUAAUGGCCUACCAAGGCGACGACGGGUAGCCGGCCUGAGAGGGUGACCGGCCACACUGGGACUGAGACACGGCCCAGACUCCUACGGGAGGCAGCAGUGGGGAAUAUUGCACAAUGGGCGCAAGCCUGAUGCAGCGACGCCGCGUGAGGGAUGACGGCCUUCGGGUUGUAAACCUCUUUCAGUAGGGAAGAAGCGAAAGUGACGGUACCUGCAGAAGAAGCGCCGGCUAACUACGUGCCAGCAGCCGCGGUAAUACGUAGGGCGCAAGCGUUAUCCGGAAUUAUUGGGCGUAAAGAGCUCGUAGGCGGUUUGUCGCGUCUGCUGUGAAAGACCGGGGCUCAACUCCGGUUCUGCAGUGGGUACGGGCAGACUAGAGUGCAGUAGGGGAGACUGGAAUUCCUGGUGUAGCGGUGAAAUGCGCAGAUAUCAGGAGGAACACCGAUGGCGAAGGCAGGUCUCUGGGCUGUAACUGACGCUGAGGAGCGAAAGCAUGGGGAGCGAACAGGAUUAGAUACCCUGGUAGUCCAUGCCGUAAACGUUGGGCACUAGGUGUGGGGGACAUUCCACGUUUUCCGCGCCGUAGCUAACGCAUUAAGUGCCCCGCCUGGGGAGUACGGCCGCAAGGCUAAAACUCAAAGGAAUUGACGGGGGCCCGCACAAGCGGCGGAGCAUGCGGAUUAAUUCGAUGCAACGCGAAGAACCUUACCAAGGCUUGACAUGAACCGGAAAGACCUGGAAACAGGUGCCCCGCUUGCGGUCGGUUUACAGGUGGUGCAUGGUUGUCGUCAGCUCGUGUCGUGAGAUGUUGGGUUAAGUCCCGCAACGAGCGCAACCCUCGUUCUAUGUUGCCAGCGCGUUAUGGCGGGGACUCAUAGGAGACUGCCGGGGUCAACUCGGAGGAAGGUGGGGACGACGUCAAAUCAUCAUGCCCCUUAUGUCUUGGGCUUCACGCAUGCUACAAUGGCCGGUACAAAGGGUUGCGAUACUGUGAGGUGGAGCUAAUCCCAAAAAGCCGGUCUCAGUUCGGAUUGGGGUCUGCAACUCGACCCCAUGAAGUCGGAGUCGCUAGUAAUCGCAGAUCAGCAACGCUGCGGUGAAUACGUUCCCGGGCCUUGUACACACCGCCCGUCAAGUCACGAAAG